rnacentral:rRNA from 1 species
CCUACGGGUGGCAGCAGUGGGGAAUAUUGGACAAUGGGGGGAACCUUGAUCCAGCCAUGCCGCGUGUGUGAAGAAGGCCCUCGGGUUGUAAAGCACUUUCAGUGAGGAAGAACGCCUGGUGGUUAAUACCCAUCAGGAAAGACAUCACUCACAGAAGAAGCACCGGCUAACUCCGUGCCAGCAGCCGCGGUAAUACGGAGGGUGCGAGCGUUAAUCGGAAUUACUGGGCGUAAAGCGCGCGUAGGUGGCUUGAUAAGCCGGUUGUGAAAGCCCCGGGCUCAACCUGGGAACGGCAUCCGGAACUGUCAAGCUAGAGUGCAGGAGAGGAAGGUAGAAUUCCCGGUGUAGCGGUGAAAUGCGUAGAGAUCGGGAGGAAUACCAGUGGCGAAGGCGGCCUUCUGGACUGACACUGACACUGAGGUGCGAAAGCGUGGGUAGCAAACAGGAUUAGAUACCCCGGUAGUC